AUGUCAUGAUGAGGGCACUUUCGUAAUAACUCAUUGAACCACUCCCAUGCCUUAUAUAAAGAUUCUUCAUCAAAUUGUUGAAAUGAUGUGAUUUCAUUUUGGAGUUU
rnacentral:snoRNA from 1 species